rnacentral:rRNA from 1 species
GACGAACGCUGGCGGCGUGCUUAACACAUGCAAGUCGAACGGAAAGGCCCUGCUUUUGUGGGGUGCUCGAGUGGCGAACGGGUGAGUAACACGUGAGUAACCUGCCCUUGACUUUGGGAUAACUUCAGGAAACUGGGGCUAAUACCGGAUAGGAGCUCCUGCUGCAUGGUGGGGGUUGGAAAGUUUCGGCGGUUGGGGAUGGACUCGCGGCUUAUCAGCUUGUUGGUGGGGUAGUGGCUUACCAAGGCUUUGACGGGUAGCCGGCCUGAGAGGGUGACCGGCCACAUUGGGACUGGGAUACGGCCCAGACUCCUACGGGAGGCAGCAGUGGGGAAAAUUGCACAAUGGGCGGAAGCCUGAUGCAGCAACGCCGCGUGCGGGAUGACGGCCUUCGGGUUGUAAACCGCUUUCGCCUGUGACGAAGCGUGAGUGACGGUAAUGGGUAAAGAAGCACCGGCUAACUACGUG